rnacentral:rRNA from 1 species
CCUACGGGUGGCAGCAGUGAGGAAUAUUGGUCAAUGGGCGAAAGCCUGAACCAGCCAAGUCGCGUGAAGGAUGAAGGAUCUAUGGUUUGUAAACUUCUUUUAUAUGGGAAUAAAGUCAGGAACGUGUUCCUUUUUGUAUGCACCAUAUGAAUAAGCAUAGGCUAACUCCGUGCCAGCAGCCGCGGUAAUACGGAGGAUGCGAGCGUUAUCCGGAUUUAUUGGGUUUAAAGGGUGCGUAGGUGGUUAAUUAAGUCAGCGGUGAAAGUUUGCGGCUCAACCAUAAAAUUGCCGUUGAAACUGGGUGACUUGAGUAUACUUGAGGUAGGCGGAAUGCGUGGUGUAGCGGUGAAAUGCAUAGAUAUCACGCAGAACUCCGAUUGCGAAGGCAGCUUACUAAACUAUAACUGACACUGAAGCACGAAAGCGUGGGUAUCAAACAGGAUUAGAUACCCUUGUAGUC